UCACUUGAAGUGAAUUAUUGGGAGAAGGUAUUGGAUGUAAGUAGUGAGCAAUGAAUACGGAUAAUGGAUGGAGUGAUGGAAUGAAAUAAUUAGGGUAGAAAGAGCUGAAGGAUUUAGUAAAAGUGACAUGAGAGGUAUAGUUUGGAAUCAAAGGAUAAGGUCUUGUUGGAAUCCAUAAAAGAAAUGGUAUUUAAAACCUAAUAGUAAAGGUGGCAUAAGCCAAUAUGUGGAAAGUCGAGGCAUG
rnacentral:lncRNA from 1 species